rnacentral:rRNA from 1 species
AGUGAACGCUGGCGGCAUGCCUUACACAUGCAAGUCGAACGGUAACAGAUUAAGCUCUUGCGCUGCCGAGGGGCGAGUAGUGUAUGGGUACGGACUACAUCGUGGUCUAUAACUUCGCGGAGGAUCAGGUAGUAAAGCAUACGAUCAUACGGCGUACGCGGGGCGUGGGAAAGCCUCGCAUCAUUGGACCUUCCGCGAUCGGAUUAGGUAGUUGGGGAGGUAAAGGCUCACCAAGCCGACGAUCUGUAGCUGGUCUGAGAGGAGGACCAGCCACACUGGGACUGAGACACGGUCCAGACUCCUACGGGAGGCAGCAGUGGGGAAUAUUGGACAAUGGGCGCAAGCCUGAUCCAGCCAUGCCGCGUGCGGGAAGAAGGCCUUCGGGUUGUAAAGCGCUUUUGUUAGGGAAGAAAAGGUUCUGGCUAAUACCUGGGACUUAUGACGGUACCUGAAGAAUAAGCACCGGCUAACUACGUG